UGUCCAACAAAGGAGGAUGCAGUCAUCGAUACCCAGGAAUUGGUAAAGUUGCCUUCGUUAAAGACCUCAUGACUGGAAAGAUACCAACCAAAAACUUCAAAUGUUCGCGAUUUGGAGCUUCAAUUGCGCCUGGACUAGGAUGGAAUAAGAUGAACCGAUGUUUUAAGCAACCUUGUCAAAAGGGUUUUGCCUAUAUUUCUAAUUAUCAUGUCGAUACAUCAGGCUCGUACAGCUACAGUGUUGUGUCUGAACGUUCCGGAAUUCAGGACAAUCAAACAUCAUUUAUUGGCUGUGAUCACGGA